AUGAUGAUGUCACUGACUCUACUGCUGGGCACCCUGGGGCUCCUUGUUCAGGGUUCAUCAGGACAAAUCAUCCUGACUCAGUCUCCUGGACCUCAGUAUGCUGUUCCAGGACAGACUGUCUCCAUCAAAUGUAAAACCAGUUCAAGUGUUUACAGUCAUCUUGUUGGUGCCAACUUGCUCCACUGGUACCUUCAUAAAUCUGGAGAUGCUCCUAAACUCCUGAUUUAUAGAGGUACAGGCCGUCAGUCUGGAGUUUCAAAUCGUUUUAGUGGAAGUGGAUCAAACUAUGACUUCACUCUGACCAUCAGUGGGGUUCAUGCUGAAGAUUCAGGAGUUUACUACUGUCAGUAUGGUUGGUAUUCAGAGUUCACACAGUGA